rnacentral:rRNA from 1 species
GACGGAGGGUGCUAGCGUUGUUCGGAAUAACUGGGCGUAAAGGGCGCGUAGGCGGCCUUGCAAGUCGGUUGGUGAAAGCCCGGGGCUCAACCCCGGAGGUGCGGCCGAGACUGCAGGGCUGGAGGCCGGAAGAGGAGGGUGGAAUACCCAGUGUAGAGGUGAAAUGCGCAGAUAUCGGGAGGAACACCAAUGGCGAAGGCAGCUCGCUGGGACGGUACUGACGCUGAGGCGCGAAAGCGUGGGGAGCAAACAGG